AAUAUCCUAGUAUGGUAGACACACCUGCCGAAUAAAGUGAGUUCUGAGUUAACCAGCAAAAGACCUACCGUUGCAGGACAAGGGAGUAUGUACUGUUAGCUGAAAGUGGGAAGCUAGUGAAUCAGUGUAUUAAUUACCGAACUACUUGAUUGAGCUACUUGAUUUGAGGCAAUGAAAAUAUCACGCUUGCUGCAUACCAUUGAUCCCUCAGUAUGUACAUUCACGUUUGGAGCUGAGCAGUGAAAUAGAGACCAGAAGAUGAAACGGACUGUCAGUCAGCCACGCGAUUCGUCUACCAGCCAGCCAAUGGGAGGGCUCUUUGGAAGCGCCAGACCGUGAGCUCUCACCAGAUCCGCUACUUUCUUCGGCCCAUUCACCAUUUCAGAAGGUCUUCCUCAGUAACUCCCACUUCUGUGCAGCUCGAUCCACCCCCCCGAGCAGACACAUCCCAUUACCAUCCAGCCAGUUGACCCCCGCAUUUCCAGUCCUAAUCAUGCUUGACUUCCCACGGCGACACAAUUGCAGCUGGCUAUGUAACUAAAGUGGAAUUGCUGUGGGCUGGAAUCAACUGCUUGAUGUUUCUGCAAAUAUCUCAUUUGGUGUAUUUCUUUUUAAGGACUGGCUCUACAGACAGAGGGCGAGAACUUGUAAAAGUGAGGGCAGUUCAAGGGUCAGAGGAUUUCCGGGGUUUAUGCCGGAUACUGUCUCACAUCAUAAAGCUGAAGCUUUGUUAUAAACAUCCGGCUUAAUCCCCGUAAGCCCAUCCCCAGUGUCCCCCAUCUGUAAGAGGGAGAGUCCAGUGGAAGUGCAAGAACCCGCAUUUGGAAGGCAUAUGAACUGGCCUGAAGAGGAUGAUGUAAAAGUUCACAAGAUGCAGGCUCAUUCAUAGAGCUUAUUUUUAAGCUUGCAGAUCCCCAGAGAAGUUGGGUCCUCCCCCCCCGUCCAAACCGAGAAACAUACGCUGCCUUCUUUGAGGACUCUCAUGGGGAGAGAGGCCAGCCAUCUGAUUGAGGCUGGUCCUCCAACUUACAGGGAAGAACUUGGGGUUUGGUGGCAGGAUUGACACUCCAACCACCAGAAAAAAAAAUCACAUUUCUGGGACUGAGUACUGGAGUGCCAAGUCUGACGAUGCAGCUCAGGGCACUGCAACCAGGAUCCAGCGACCCGCAGCCCUUUCGCAAAGUCAAGGAACAUGGAGCCGCUUUCACUCCAGUCUUCAGACCCAUGGGGACCGACACAGUCCUCAUAACCAGCCCUGUCAUUGCCAGCAGUCGCAUUGAAGUCACCCAUGACCAGAGCAGUGUCACCUCGUGGGCACCCUUCAAC